UGAUGUGCAACGUUUUCUUCCGGAUCCA
rnacentral:sRNA from 1 species